CAGCAGCCGCGGUAAUACGAAGGGGGCUAGCGUUGCUCGGAAUUACUGGGCGUAAAGGGAGCGUAGGCGGACAUUUAAGUCAGGGGUGAAAUCCCAGAGCUCAACUCUGGAACUGCCUUUGAUACUGGGUGUCUUGAGUGUGAUAGAGGUAUGUGGAACUCCGAGUGUAGAGGUGAAAUUCGUAGAUAUUCGGAAGAACACCAGUGGCGAAGGCGACAUACUGGAUCGGCAUUGACGCUGAGGUGCGAAAGCGUGGGGAGCAAACAGGAUUAGAUACCCCAGUAGUCCCUGUCUCUUAUAA
rnacentral:rRNA from 1 species